rnacentral:rRNA from 1 species
GACGAACGCUGGCGGCGUGCUUAACACAUGCAAGUCGAACGGAAAGGCCCUGCUUUUGUGGGGUGCUCGAGUGGCGAACGGGUGAGUAACACGUGAGUAACCUGCCCUUGACCUUGGGCUAACUACAGGAAACUGGGGCUAAUACCGGCUAGGAGCUCCUGCUGCAUGGUGGGGGUUGGAAAGUUUCGGCGGUUGGGGUUGGACUCGCGGCUUAUCAGCUUGUUGGUGGGGUAGUGGCUUACCAAGGCUUUGACGGGUAGCCGGCCUGAGAGGGUGACCGGCCACAUUGGGACUGAGAUACGGCCCAGACUCCUACGGGAGGCAGCAGUGGGGAAUAGUGCACAAUGGGCGGAAGCCUGAUGCAGCAACGCCGCGUGCGGGAUGACGGCCUUCGGGUUGUAAACCGCUUUCGCCUGUGACGAAGCGUGAUUGACGGUAAUGGGUAAAGAAGCACCGGCUAACUACGUG